rnacentral:lncRNA from 1 species
UGUCAAACUUGAAGCCUAUCAUAGAGCAGAUUUAAGGGGCACUACAUUUCAGAAAGGAAACGUAGGUUCAUUUGCACCAUUGAAAGAGUCAGAUCUAAUGGUCACUAUUGAGUGAAGCACAUUUCUUUUCCAUUUACUAGAAACAUAAGACUAUAAAACACAAGUGCUUUUGGUUUGACUUUGAGGUUACUAAAAUGCUCUGUGUCAGAGAGGUUGCUUUACCAAAUGUUAAACUAUUAAGUUGAAAAGAGACCAAGUGGAUGAGUGCAAAAGAUUAUGCUGGGAAUUGAACCUAAAGCCUUGAGCCUUGAGCCUUGAGCCUUACAAAUGCAAGCCAUUUCCAGUCUCAGCGAUAACAGUAGAAAGGCUGAAGUCAGAGUGCAGGAAGAGAAUGCUUGAGCAAGAAGUUCCAUACUGAGCACACCA